rnacentral:ncRNA from 1 species
CUUUUAUCACUUAGGAGCCGUGUGAGAUGAAAAUCUCAUGCAUGGUUCUGAACGAGAGAAAGAAGUGAGAAAUCCUUUUUUCGACUCUGAUCUCCCACUCCAGUCUAGACAUAGGUGGUGCAUAGCUUUCGUCAGCUCGUGUUGUAAGGUGUUGGGUUCCGCAAUGAGCAUAGCCCUCGUGUUUAGUUGCCACUGUUGAGUUUAGAACCCUGAGCAGACUUCCGGUGAUAAUCCAGAGGAAGGUAAGGAUGACAUCAAGUCAUCAUGCCCCUUAUGCCCUAGGCGACACACGUGCUAUAAUGGUCGGGACAAAGGGUCGCAGUCCCGCAAGGGUGAGCUAACUCCAAAAACCCGUUCUUAGUUCGGAUUGCAUGCUGCAACUCACCUGCAUUAAGCCAGAAUCGCUAGUAAUCGUCGAUCAGCCAUACGGCGGUGAAUUCAUUCCUAGG